rnacentral:rRNA from 1 species
GACGAACGCUGGCGGCGUGCUUAACACAUGCAAGUCGAACGGAAAGGCCCUGCGUUUGUGGGGUGCUCGAGUGGCGAACGGGUGAGUAACACGUGAGUAACCUGCCCUUGACUGUGGGAUAACUUCAGGAAACUGGGGCUAAUACCGGAUAGGAGCUCCUGCUGCAUGGUGGGGGUUGGAAAGUUUCGGCGGUGGGGGAUGGACUCGCGGCUUAUCAGCUUGUUGGUGGGGUAGUGGCUUACCAAGGCUUUGACGGGUAGCCGGCCUGAGAGGGUGACCGGCCACAUUGGGACUGAGAUACGGCCCAGACUCCUACGGGCGGCAGCAGUGGGGAAUAUUGCACAAUGGGCGGAAGCCUGAUGCAGCAACGCCGCGUGCGGGAUGACGGCCUUCGGGUUGUAAACCGCUUUCGCCUGUGACGAAGCGUGAGUGACGGUAAUGGGUAAAGAAGCACCGGCUAACUACGUG